rnacentral:lncRNA from 1 species
AAUGCAAAUGAUUAUUCACAGCAGCUUUUUUUGGGGGGGACCACAGUAACAUUUGUUCAACUGUAUUCAUUACACUUGAGCUAUAAAAAGCAGCAAAUUAAGGCUCAACAUGAAGACACAUAACAUAAAAUCAAAAUGUGACAGCAGAAAUGGUUCAGUAUCCACCCACCACUUGCACAAGGAAAUGAGGAAUAGUGUCUUGCUUCUUCCAGAAAGACUAUCACAGUGAUCCUUCCUAACAUGCUUUAAAGUCCAGUCUCUACUCCCUUUGAACCCUUUACUAUUUUGCAAGUCAUAAUGCUUGUUUUUUCCCUACAAUUGUGAAGGAGGAUGCAAUCCGGUUCAGUCAGUUCAGUCAGAAGGGAAAGGACUGUGGUUCCUGCCCUCCUCUGAUGGUGCACUGAGCACAAAACCUUUGCAGAAGUGGACUAGCACAAAAACAAGGGAAAAUGUUAUUAUACUUGCCUGCUUAAAUAAUAAUUUUCUUAUGCAGUAUAAAAAAACUACAUGCACAUUUAAUUAACUUGUUUGCAGAUAUAGAUGAAUAGAGAAUAUGCAUUCAGUAUGCACUUUCUUUCAUUAAAAAAUCCUUGCUGUCUGCCUAGUUUUUGACAGAUGACCUGAGUGCACAUGUUCAGGGAUAAAGAUCCAGAAACUUACUUCCCCAGCAGGGGCCACUUUCUUUCAGUCUGCCAGAUCUUUUAUUAUACACGGAUCAGGACUGCAAGAUCCAUGAGAAAAACCAUCCUGGAAUGUAUUUGGAGGAAAAAAUCAAAAGUUUAUAAGUGAAAUGCUCUGUUACCACACUGAAGGAAUGGGGGAAUGGGACGUAGUAGUACAAGAGUACCACUCACCAAAAGUAAAGCAGCUCAAAACCUCACAACAUAGCAAAUGAACUAUUAGGUACACCUGACUUGAUGAUUAUAUCUGUGCUGCGGUCUGGACCAAAAAAAAACCUGUUUGUCCUCCUGUGAUUACUUCUGAUGUACUUUAGCACUGUCACAUCCCCCUGGUUUUGCUGUUUUCAUUACUCCUGACAGAACGUUUGGGUAAGUGCAAGAAGAGAGAGGGGAUAGUAUAGCGGUUUGACAGCUCUAAUUAUGAAUAUUUAAGAGCUGUUUGAAUGUGCUCUCUUUUAUCACCUAAUUUCCUAUCAAUGACAGCUUUGGAAGCACUUGUCUCAUUUUUCAAAUCAAAGCUUCCUCAAGCAAAAUGCUUGGAGACUGAAUAGCUUAUGCAUACUAUUAAUCACAGGGGGUGGGAAAAGAUCCAUCAAGUGUUUCAGAUAGUUUGAGAGUGCUCCAUCCUUGUAGAGCUUUCACCUCCCAUUUCUCACAGAUGAGUGUAUUUGCCUCCUGUGAAUGAUCUUUGUGAUUCUUCCUCAUCCAGAUUUAUCUUCCUUCAAAAAUGCGUCAGUUGAUGCCUGGAUAUUUAAAAACAGACUAACUUCUAAUUGGGGUUAGUCAUAGAUAGAAGGGAAGAGUAGUCACGUGUUGUUUUCUUAAAGGAGGAUACCUCUUGUUCUGCUUCCAAGGGGUCAACUUUCAUCAAAGAAAGGUUACAUAUUAAAUGGAAAUGAGUAACUGCUCCAACUUUGAAAUGAGCUUUCUUGAUUUGGGCCAGAAAGAACAUUGUUGUCUGAUGCUUAUUCUGUGAUUACCGUUACUUUCUACACAUGAGAUUGACUUUGGUCAUGAUGGCAAAAUGUUCCCCAAUUAACUUUAUCAUAGUUUUGUGCUUUUUGUGUAUACUGAAAUGUCUUCUCCUUAUUAGACAGGAUUAACCAGAAUCUCCCCGAUAAUGACAUUUAAAUUCUGCAGGACGUGCAUAAUGGAUGGAGCUGGAGAAGGGGAAUAUCUUCACAGAUGAAGGUGGACUCUGCCUGGUAAUAGCCGAGCUAGCCCUUGGCCUUCUGGGAGCCUUGUGAUGACAGAGCAGCACGAUAACAUUCCCAGUUUUUGAAGGAGUCUGUGUCUGUAGUGCUUGUUCCCUCCCGUUUUGUUGUGAAUUUACAUUCCAUAUGUUACUGAAAGAUGAGAUGAGAGAGAAAUGACAAAAGUCAAUACUUCACUGAACAACAUCUCAUGGUAUUUCCUACUAUUGCUAGAGGGGAAUAUUAUUCCUCCAGGUCUCAUCAAAGUGAUAGUGUAGCAAGAACAGCCAGUCUCCAGCCUGGAGAUGUGCGGGAUUCAAUAAAGUGAUGUUUUUCUUUCCUUGUUAGAUUGAG